CGCAGCCAAAAAUUAAAAAAAAAAAAAAAAAGCCAAGCAUUUGAAGCCCUUAAAAAAAAAAAAAGCCCAAGUGCUUGCUUACAAUCCCCGGCAACCCCUUCACAGUCUAUGCCCUCACCCCUCUCUGACCUCAUCUCCUCCCUGCCUCACUCCACCUCAGCCGAGGCGGCCUCCUUGCUGCUGCUUGGACAAACCCAACACACCAAAGACACUCUGCUUCCAGAGCUUUGCACCAACUUCCCUCUGCCCAGAACAUUCUAUCUCCAGAUAUCCCCACUUCUCUAAUUUAAAAAGGCAGCUACCCCUCCCCCACACACAUCUGUACCUUUCCUGCGUAUUCUUUUUUGUACCACCAAUUUCAUACUAUUUAUUUUACUUGUUUAUUAAAUGUCCCUCUCCCCCCUUCCCGCAUAGGGAUAAGCUCCAUCAGGGCAGAAAUAUUUGUCUGUUUUCUAGUACCUGGUACAUAGAAGCUGCUCAAAAAAUGUGAACGAAUGAAUGUACUACUGCCCUAAUAUGAUGUAUUUUAUAAAAACAAUAAGCAUAGAAUUCCGAAUAUAUUCAUCAUCCAUCAUAUGGCAUAUCCCACGGAGUGCCUUUGAAACCUUUGCUUGUCAACGUAGGUGCCUUUGAAGGUCGUUGUGGAAAAUGACUGGAACUUAGUAUUUUAUCAAAAUAAAAUCUGACAGCAAUCUCAAGUUGGGCAGGAAGGGCAACCCUACAGAAAGGGAUUCUGUUGCUCACCACCUGCCAAGUGACAAAACUGCCAAUUUCUGGAAGAAGAAAGACUUUUCUUGUUGCCAGUAGAGGGUGCUGGGCACCAACAAAUGUGAACAGGAGCAGGGCAGGGUGGGAGCCUGCUCCGAGGUGAGGUGACAGACAGAGGGUCAGGGGCAGCUGGCCUGGAUUUGACCAGGCUCUAUCCAUUCUGAUUCUUAGAUUCCCGUAUUGCAUUUCAGCUUCCACUCUACCAGGUGUUAAUAACUCAUUUACAGGCUUGCUGAAUAUCCCAGAGCUACUUCUCAACAAACAACUCUUUCCUAAUCAUUUGCUGUUGUUUCUGCCAGAGGAAUUGGAGUAUCCUUGUGUAACAAUUGCUUUAUUUUUGUGUUAUAAAACAAAUUAGGGGAGGCGGGUACAGCUGUAUUUUGUACACCUCUGACAUAUUUAUUUCUGUCCGGUGUCCUCAGGUCACUUUAGUGGGAACUGUGUGCACUGAUGCUCCAGCUUGUACUGCUGCCCCUCACUGCCCUCCCUCCAGCCGGCAGAAGAGGCCUCUGACCAGAGCUAGCUUCCUGUCCCGAAACGCAGAGACACAAGGAAAUAUACCGUCUUCUCUUCCUUCUCUCUCAUCUCUGCAGAAAGGCUGUUGGAAGACAGGAAACUAACGCUUACAAAUAGGAAAUGCCCAGCCCCAGGGCACACAGCUUUGAGGAUGCCCAGCUGUCUCCAGGAUUCAACGAGAUCAUUUCCCUAAAGCACCCGUCUCGGUGCCUCGUGUUUUCUAGUGUUGGGACUGCACUUGCUCCCCUCUGCUGUCAGACAAAAGCCGGGAGUCAGGAGGAUGCUGAGCUCCUGAAGCAGACCCCACUGGAACACGACCCUACGGACGGGGGUCUGAUGCAGUGUCCUGUGUGCUGAGACAGGCCGGGUUUGGAGACUGUAAAUGGCCUUAUGUGUGGGUUUUAAAAUCUUGUUGGAAAAAAGA